rnacentral:rRNA from 1 species
AACGAACGCUGGCGGCAGGCCUAACACAUGCAAGUCGAACGCCGUAGCAAUACGGAGUGGCAGACGGGCGAGUAACGCGUGGGAACAUACCCCUCGGUUCGGAAUAACUUAGGGAAACGUUAGAGCUAAUACCGGAUACGUCCGAGGUUUAACCGGUCCUCGGAGAAAGAUUUAUCGCCGGAGGAUUGGCCCGCGUCUGAUUAGCUAGUUGGUAAGGUAACGGCUUACCAAGGCGACGAUCCGUAGCCGGCCUGAGAGGGCGGUCGGCCACACUGACACUGACAUACGGGUCAGACUCCUACGGGAGGGCAGCAGUCGGGAAUUUUGGGCAAUGGGCGAAAGCCUGACCCAGCAACGCCGCGUGAAGGAUGAAAUCCCUCGGGAUGUAAACUUCGCAAGAACGGGAAGAAUAAA